rnacentral:rRNA from 1 species
UACAGAGGUCUCAAGCGUUGUUCGGAUUCAUUGGGCGUAAAGGGUGCGUAGGCGGCGCGGUAAGUCGGGUGUGAAAUCUCGGAGCUUAACUCCGAAACUGCAUUCGAUACUGCCGUGCUUGAGGACUGGAGAGGAGACUGGAAUUUACGGUGUAGCGGUGAAAUGCGUAGAUAUCGUAAGGAAGACCAGUGGCGAAGGCGGGUCUCUGGACAGUACCUGACGCUGAGGCACGAAGGUCAGGGGAGCAAACGGG